UGUUAUGUACAUUCCUACAACAUUAAUGCACCGAAUCCCAUCAAAACUCUAUAGUUAAUCGUGAUUGGGAUAGAUUAGUAUUGGGACGGGUGACCUCUCGGGAAUUCCUAGUGUUUUCCUAU
rnacentral:rRNA from 1 species